rnacentral:rRNA from 1 species
UACGUAGGGUGCAAGCGUUGUCCGGAAUUAUUGGGCGUAAAGAGCUCGUAGGCGGUCUGUUGCGUCGGCUGUGAAAACCCGGGGCUCAACUCCGGGCCUGCAGCCGAUACGGGCAGACUAGAGUUCGGCAGGGGAGACUGGAAUUCCUGGUGUAGCGGUGAAAUGCGCAGAUAUCAGGAGGAACACCGGUGGCGAAGGCGGGUCUCUGGGCCGAUACUGACGCUGAAGCGCGAAAGCUAGGGGAGCGAACGGG